CCUACGGGAGGCAGCAGUGGGGAAUAUUGGACAAUGGGCGGGACCCUGAUCCAGCGACGCCGCGUGAGGGAAGAAGUAUCUCGGUAUGGUAAGCUCCAUUUGUAGGGAAGAAAAUGACGGUACCUGAGUAAGAAGCCCUGUCCAACUACGUGCCAGCAGCCGUGGUAAUAUGGAGGGGGCAAGCGUUAUCCGGAAUUACUGGGUGUAAAGGGAGCGUAGACGGUAAUGCAAGUCUGGAGUGAAAGGCGGGGGCCCAAACCCCGGACUGCUGUGGAAACUGUGUAACUGGAGUGCAGGAGAGGCAGGCGGAAUUCGUGGUGUAGCGGUGAAAUGCGUAGAUAUUAGGAAGAACACCGAUGGCGAAGGCAGCCUGCUGGACUGUAACUGACGUUGAGGCUCGAAAGCGUGGGGAGCAAACAGGAUUAGAUACCCUGGUAGUC
rnacentral:rRNA from 1 species